CUAAAUUUGGGACUGCCACAUCCCGGCAGCCUGAGUGGGACCCACAGUGCUGAUGCACUGCGCGGAGCUAUGGGGUUUUUGCUUCCUGCCCCACCUCUGGAGUCUCAGCACCCCCCCAACCCUUUUCCUAUGAAGAAAACCCCCUCAGCCAUCCGCAGCGAUCCCGGGGAGGGGGCAACCGGGGGGGGCAGCGCUGAGUUUUAUUGAAGUGGGAGUUCAAAUAAUAAAAUGGGGAUGGGAGGCGCGGGUUGGGGGGGGGGGGCUCAGGGCUGGGGGCCGCGUGCCCCCCGAGGUAGCGCUCGCGGAUCUGGGCCAGGCUGGCACUGAGGCCGCCCAACGCCUGAGCGAUGCUGCGCAGCACCGCUGCCAUCUCCCGGCGGCUCUCGGCGCACUCCCGGCGGAAGGCGCGCACCUCCUGCACCAGCCGCUCGUUGCAGCGGAUGAGGCGCAGCUCGGCCGGGCUGAGCCGGGCGCUGCUUUCGGGGGUCCCGUCCGUCGUGCCGGGGGUUCCCCCCGUUUCGCCGCAGUCACUGAGCCGUUCGGCGUCCGGCUCGAAGAUGACGCUGCCGGGGAAGUCGCAGCCCGGAGGUUCCGGCUGUAUCCCCAGGUCGGGCUGGGGGGGCUGCGGGGGGCUCCAGCCCUCGCCGGGGCUGUGGGUGCUGCUGCGGGGCUGCCGACGCGCCGGGACGGUGCCGCCGUCCGUGGGGUCAUGGAAGGGCUCCGUCUUCACCUCCACCGGUUCCUCCUUCACCGCCUCCUCCUUCACACCGCGCGGUGCCGCCCUUUCCCCUCCGAGCAGCGGCGCCGCUUCGCCGCCGCGCGGUCCCCAUACGGGCGCGGGUCCGGGGCCGAGCUCGGCGGCGGCGGUGCCGGUUCCGGCGGCGGCCCCGUGGUGCCGUGCGGCGCCGGGUCGCGGUGCCGGGCCCUGCCGCUCCUGCCGGUGCCGGGUGAUUUUAUCGUUGGCGCGGCGGCGCAGCCCCCUCCAGCGGUUCUUCACCUCGCCGAUGUCGCGCUGGUUGCGGCCGGCGGCGUUGAUCUUAUUGGUGAUGCGCCACCAGAUCUUCUGCUUCUCGUAGGCGUUCACGGUGCUGGCGGCGGCGCCGAAGAGCAGCGGUUCGUAGCGGAGCACUUCGCUCAUCAGGAUCUCGAUCUCCUGCAGCGUGAAGUUGGGCUUCCGCUUCAGCAGCCCCCGCCGCGCCGCGCCGCCCGCCGCCGCCAUGCUGCCCGCCGCACCGAGCGGCCGCCGCCGCGGGAGCGGAGCGGGGCGGGGGGGGGGGGCGGCAGCGCGGCGGGGCGGGGCGGGCGGCGGCACCGCGACCUCUGCCGGCGGUGCGCCCCCCGCGGUGUGGCUCCCCCUGCUGGCAGCCUCCGGUACUGCCGGGAGCGGCCCGGGCCGGUACUGCCCCGCGCGGUGUGGCGCCCCCUGGCGGUCGCGUCGUGCAGCCCCGCGGGGUAUUUUCGGAGCGGCCCCGACGGCCUCACCG
rnacentral:lncRNA from 1 species